CGAAAAAUUGUAUUGCAGUACAGUGAAAUUAUGAAGUAGUUUUAAGCGGUUUUUUUUAAGUAGAAAAAUUAGAAGACUCUUUGAUAAAGCUUAUAUUUCAAUCUAAGCCUCUUAUUUUCUUAUGAGGUGCUUGAAUUGCGCAGUAGCUAUUUUGCACAUGCGCCUUAUCAUCGUGAAGAAAAGCUGUAUUUGAAUAUUGUAUAUAAAGCAAGAUGCACAGACAUUAUGAAGUAUUCUGCGAUGGAAACAGUUCAAUCAGAAAAGAAUGAAUACUGAAUAUGUGCAGGACUUUGUUCUAAAGAUGACAGUUGCACAUAAUGAUCGGAUACUCAGUUUGUCUUGUGCCCUAUCCGUCAGUCGCUGCGUUAGAAAUCCUGCAGUGAUUGGAAGAUAAGGCUCAAGACAUUCUGUACAUCGGCUAGAGAUCCAGCAUGACCAGUGACCAGUUACAAGAACCGAGUUACCUACUCGCCACCACUGUGAAUGAAAUACUACUAAACAGGAAAGUAAAAUCACUCGCGCACAGGAAUGAAGAAAUGAGUGGACUUAAUACAUUUAAAGAGGACUGUUCUUGUUCUCAUUAACUUACAUGUCUUCCUCAUUUCUCAUUUAAAUAAGGACGAAUCAUAGUGACACUUAUCAAACUUAUAAUUGCACAUACAAAUAUUAAUAAGGAAACUUGUUGAACCUGUCGCAAUUGUUUAAGACGGAAAUCUAUUGUAAGUUCUAUCCCAUCCUCGUUGUCCUUCCUCCGUAUCACGAAGAACAUCUCGUAUCUCCAUAAAUGAAUUAACAUUUGGAUAUCUAGAACCCGGAAAAUAGUCGUAUCUCUCUAACUGAACAAACAUUUGAAUAUCUAGAACCCGGAUAUUUUAUAAGGGUCCCAAGCUGUUGUUAUCGUAUGGAAUGAGACCACGUGUAUCUCUCAAUCAAGACUUCCGCAUAUUUUUCUCCGAAAAUGUUAUAUGUAUAU
rnacentral:lncRNA from 1 species